AGAGUUUGAUCCUGGCUCAGGACGAACGCUGGCGGCGUGCUUAACACAUGCAAGUCGAACGGAGAGGCCCUUCGGGGUACUCGAGUGGCGAACGGGUGAGUAACACGUGGGUGAUCUGCCCUGCACUUUGGGAUAAGCCUGGGAAACUGGGUCUAAUACCGAAUAUGACCAUGCGCCUCCUGGUGUGUGGUGGAAAGCUUUUGCGGUGUGGGAUGGGCCCGCGGCCUAUCAGCUUGUUGGUGGGGUAAUGGCCUACCAAGGCGACGACGGGUAGCCGGCCUGAGAGGGUGACCGGCCACACUGGGACUGAGAUACGGCCCAGACUCCUACGGGAGGCAGCAGUGGGGAAUAUUGCACAAUGGGCGCAAGCCUGAUGCAGCGACGCCGCGUGAGGGAUGACGGCCUUCGGGUUGUAAACCUCUUUCAGCACAGACGAAGCGCAAGUGACGGUAUGUGCAGAAGAAGGACCGGCCAACUACGUGCCAGCAGCCGCGGUAAUACGUAGGGUCCGAGCGUUGUCCGGAAUUACUGGGCGUAAAGAGCUCGUAGGUGGUUUGUCGCGUUGUUCGUGAAAACUCACAGCUUAACUGUGGGCGUGCGGGCGAUACGGGCAGACUUGAGUACUGCAGGGGAGACUGGAAUUCCUGGUGUAGCGGUGGAAUGCGCAGAUAUCAGGAGGAACACCGGUGGCGAAGGCGGGUCUCUGGGCAGUAACUGACGCUGAGGAGCGAAAGCGUGGGGAGCGAACAGGAUUAGAUACCCUGGUAGUCC
rnacentral:rRNA from 1 species